rnacentral:rRNA from 1 species
UUGGAGGGCAAGUCUGGUGCCAGCAGCCGCGGUAAUUCCAGCUCCAAUAGCGUAUAUUAAAGUUGUUGCAGUUAAAAAGCUCGUAGUUGAAUUUCGGGAUUGACGUGACGGUCGUGCCUUAAGGGGUAUGAACUGUUACAGUCAAUUUCUCACCUUCUGGAGAAAUAUGAUGUCCUUAAUUGGGUGUCAUAUGGAACCAGAACUUUUACCUUGAAAAAUUUAGAGUGUUUAAAGCAAGCUUAUAGCUCGAAUACAUUAGCAUGGAAUAAUAAAAUAGGACGGCAUGGUUCUAUUUUGUGGUUUCUAGGAUCACCGUAAUGAUUAAUAGGGAUAGUUGGGGCAUUAGUAUUCAAUUGUCAGAGUGAAAUUCUUGGAUUUAUUGAAGCUAACUACUGCGAAAGCAUUUGCCAAGGAUGUUUUCAUUAAUCAAGAACGAAAGUUAGGGGAUCGUAGACGAUCAGAUACCGUCG